AUGUCCAGGCUAGAGGAGAUGCUGGCCUUUCACAUGAAACUCUGGCAAGACAUGAAGGUAAGACAAACAGAACUUGACAUCUCUUCUAGUACUGAUUUGACUUCUUGAUUUCAUGGUAUAUGCACUUGCCAUACAUUUCAAUUUAGUGUGCUUUGUUUUGUGUCAUAUUUUACUCAAUUCCAAAGAUAAUGGAACCUCCAGAAGCCCAGAUGAAGGCGGCACCCUUUCUUUAAGAGUCAAUGAGCUGCAAUUUCUUAAUCAACAGAGUUGCCCGCUACAGGACCGAAGCGGAAGCGAAGUGGAGGAACACCAGCAUCAGCUUGAGUGUCAAUCAAGGAACUGACAGCACUGAGACUGGAGCACAGCUCACUCAGAGAGGAUCUGACUGCCGCAAACCUCCAGAACGAGCGGCUCCUCGACCGCUGGUUAGAGGAGAAGAAAGAGGAGGCUGAGAUUAUUAAUAAAUACAAUGCAAUACAAGAAAGGUGGCAAUGUUUGGCUGGUCGCCUGAAGACGCGGUCUCGUGUCCGAUCUCGUGCAGCCAAAAGCAGCUCAGCUCAAAAGCAUCAAGCCCACAGAACGCACUCCUUAAGACUUGCUUAUCUAUGAAUGUCAAUUAAGUUGUAGGCAAUUUUACUCCGCUUUUGGAGAUUAUUUUACAAAAAAAUAAAGCUUAUUCUUAAUACCUAUGUUUAAUAACACGGUAACACA